rnacentral:tmRNA from 1 species
GGGCCCGACCUUGGAUUUGACAGCAAGAAGAAGCAAUUUGUAAGCAUGCAGAGCGCUUGGUAUUCUCGCUCUUAAAUCUCGGGGUAUCAGUCAUAACUGACAACAAUUCAUACGCACUUGCUGCCUAAUCACUGUAUGUGAUUACGCUUAAUCUAGCUCAAGGAGUUAGACAAGUAAGUCUCGCCAACGACCCCGCUCCUGGUAGUUGGUAAUGAGGCUUCGCCGAAGGGAGAUCGCCAAAGACAAAUUCUGUAGUCGGAGGUUAAAAACACAGGAUAAGCAAGAUUUUGGAUGUUAUUAGCCUGCGUCUUGUCGAAAACCACUAAAUAACUAAGCAUGUAGAAACCCUUUUGAUUCCUUGUUUGGACGCGGGUUCGAACCCCGCCGGGUCCACGA